AGUUCAGACAGGACUGUGACAC
rnacentral:miRNA from 1 species